AAGACCUGGGAUCAAUGGAAAGGAAUGUUC
rnacentral:piRNA from 2 species